rnacentral:rRNA from 1 species
CCUACGGGAGGCAGCAGUGGGGAAUAUUGGACAAUGGGGGGAACCCUGAUCCAGCGACGCCGCGUGAGUGAAGAAGUAUUUCGGUAUGUAAAGCUCUAUCAGCAGGGAAGAAAGAAAUGACGGUACCUGACUAAGAAGCCCCGGCUAACUACGUGCCAGCAGCCGCGGUAAUACGUAGGGGGCAAGCGGUAGCCGGAUUUACUGGGUGUAAAGGGAGCGUAGACGGCGAUGCAAGUCUGAAGUGAAAGGCGGGGGCACAACCCCCGGACUGCUUUGGAAACUGUAUGGCUGGAGUGCAGGAGAGGUAAGUGGAAUUCCUAGUGUAGCGGUGAAAUGCGUAGAUAUUAGGAGGAACACCAGUGGCGAAGGCGGCUUACUGGACUGUAACUGACGUUGAGGCUCGAAAGCGUGGGGAGCAAACAGGAUUAGAUACCCUUGUAGUC